UACAGAGGGGGCCAGCGUUAUUCGGAAUUAUUGGGCGUAAAGGGCGCGUAGGCGGCCAUGCGUGUCUUCCGUGAAAUCCCUCGGCUCAACCGAGGACGUGCGGAAGAAACUGCAAGGCUCGAGUCCGGAAGAGGGGGGCGGAAUUCCCAGUGUAGCGGUGAAAUGCGUAGAUAUUGGGAGGAACACCAGUGGCGAAGGCGGCUCGCUGGACCGGUUCUGACGCUGAUGCGCGAAAGCGUGGGGAGCAAACGGG
rnacentral:rRNA from 1 species